rnacentral:tRNA from 1 species
CAAGACGUAGCUUCAAUAAAAGCAUUCAGCUUACACCUGAAAGAUAUCUGCUAACAUCAGAUCGUCUUGA